rnacentral:lncRNA from 1 species
AAGCAUUUGUUUCUUAUAUUAAGUAAAAUGAAUGAUUGGAAAUUUACAAGAGUAAGUAAAAUUAAUCCCUCACCAGAUAAAGAAAGGAAUUCCAGAUAGAAGACCCAAUAUAUGCCAAAGUGCAGAGGUCAGAUCCAUACAAGGGAACAGCAUGACUAGGACAGAGGCGCUCAGGAGGAGGGGACAGUGCUGGAAGUGGUGGGAGACAAAGCUAGCAAGACAAGCAUGCAUGAGGUUGGGAAGGACCUCACGGGGUACAAGUAUUCUAUAAUUUCCCUAAGGAAAUCUUGGUAAGUUUUUAAAUCCAUGUGUGGGAUGUGAUGAGCAGUAGCUUUUCUUUCUUGGGAAGACAUAUCACAAUGGAAAAACAAGCCUGUGGGCCCCUCAUGAGAUGCGGCAGGCAGGCCCGUGGUGAGUACUGUAUCCAAAGGGACCGUACUCCAGCCCUCUCGAUGACCUGUAUGGAGUCCAGGCCCAAAGGUGGUGACACAGAUCUCAACAGCAGACCAUUAAGUGGAAAAACAUGAAAAUAGAAAAACUGGAUAUCCUGAGAAUGUUUACUAUGCAAGAGAAAGUGCAAGCCAGAAAGAGACAAGUGCUACAGAAUAAAGAUAGCUGUGGGGGGAAAGGGUUUGAGGGUGUAAAUACUCAGCCAUUAGAGGAACUAAAAUUAAUGUGGCUUCUCUGAGACCGCCUAAGCUGUGUAAGCACUUGGAUAACAGUAACAGUGGGUCUGUUUUAGUUGAGAUCCUACAUGUUCACGUCAAAGACAGAAUAUGUAAUGUCUGUGUGCCCUGGCUGUUUUCUAGAAGUAAUUCCUCAUGUGGACAAUUUUAAUGCCCUGUCCCAAUGCAGCAUAAAUAAAAUAAACAUGGAAAAUGGACUGGAGAUUGUUUGUAAGUGAAGAAAUACUAUUUUUCUAAGGCCUCCCAAAUCCAAAGGCAAUUUUUACAAUAUGUCAGAAUUCUGUUUUAUCCCUAUAACCUAGUUCACAGUCUUACUUC